GCUCCAGACUCCUACGGGAGGCAGCAGUGGGGGAUAUUGCACAAUGGGGGAAACCCUGAUGCAGCGACGCCGCGUGGGCGAAGAAGUAUUUCGGUAUGUAAAGCCCUAUCAGCAGGGAAGAAGAAAUGACGGUACCUGAGUAAGAAGCACCGGCUAAAUACGUGCCAGCAGCCGCGGUAAUACGUAUGGUGCAAGCGUUAUCCGGAUUUACUGGGUGUAAAGGGAGCGCAGGCGGCACGGCAAGCCUGAUGUGAAAGCCCGCGGCCCAACCGCGGGACUGCAUUUGGAACUGUGCUGCUAGAGUGUCGGAGAGGCAGGCGGAAUUCCUAGUGUAGCGGUGAAAUGCGUAGAUAUUAGGAGGAACACCAGUGGCGAAGGCGGCCUGCUGGACGAUGACUGACGUUGAGGCUCGAAAGCGUGGGGAGCAAACAGGAUUAGAUACCCCUGUA
rnacentral:rRNA from 1 species